CAAAUGUCGACCAAAAAGCUGCUGGAGGACAUUCUGCCAAGGCGAUUGGGUGUACGUGCGGAGGCACCAACAGCAGACACUCCAACCUCGCUGGAAAGGACCCUACAUUGUGAUCCUGACCACGCCCACCGCUCUCAAGGUCCACAGAAUAACUCCUUGGGUCCACUACACCCAUGUCCGGCCAGCUGAUCCACACGCCGUCCUCAAGGACUUUGUUCCAGAAUGGAAGAGUCAGCCCAACAAGGACAAUCCCUUAAAGCUAAGGCUGCGUCGUUCCCACUUACCCCGCUAAUAUUACUUGAGCUGUAUCCCCUCGCGGCUAAACCCAACCCCAAACCAUUUAAUCUAACCUGGCAAAUCAUCACCCCAAGCUCUAAUCAGGUAGUAACCCAGCUGUCAGAGCUACACCCUAGAGGGACCUGGUGGCCUAACCUGACUAUCGACUUGUGUGAACUAUUCAGUCAGGACCCCUGGCACCAAGGCAGAAUAGGAAUACCGGGAUGUGGCACCGAGAGGGCGGAGAUGGCCCUCCGAGAUACCUGUUUUUACGUGUGUCCGGCCCUCUCUCAGUCUGACCAUAAUAAGGCCUCCAAAUGCGGUGGCUGGACGGACUACUUCUGCAAAACAUGGGGUUGUGAACAAACUGGGACAUGCAAUUGGCUGUCACAAAACCCAUCCGGCCUCAUAAAAAUCCAACUGAAUACUA